GACGAACGCUGGCGGCGUGCCUAAUACAUGCAAGUUGAGCGCUGAAGGUUGGUACUUGUACCAACUGGAUGAGCAGCGAACGGGUGAGUAACGCGUGGGGAAUCUGCCUUUGAGCGGGGGACAACAUUUGGAAACGAAUGCUAAUACCGCAUAAAAACUUUAAACACAAGUUUUAAGUUUGAAAGAUGCAAUUGCAUCACUCAAAGAUGAUCCCGCGUUGUAUUAGCUAGUUGGUGAGGUAAAGGCUCACCAAGGCGAUGAUACAUAGCCGACCUGAGAGGGUGAUCGGCCACCUUGGGACUGAGACACGGCCCAAACUCCUACGGGAGGCAGCAGUAGGGGAUCUUCGGCAAUGGACGAAAGUCUGACCGAGCAACGCCGCGUGAGUGAAGAAGGUUUUCGGAUCGUAAAACUCUGUUGGUAGAGAAGAACGUUGGUGAGAGUGGAAAGCUCAUCAAGUGACGGUAACUACCCAGAAAGGGACGGCUAACUACGUG
rnacentral:rRNA from 1 species